UCGGGGCAGGGUGAGUCGACCCCUAAGGCGAGGCCGAAAGGCGUAGUCGAUGGGAAACAGGUUAAUAUUCCUGUACUUGGUGUUACUGCGAAGGGGGGACGGAGAAGGCUAUGUUAGCCGGGCGACGGUUGUCCCGGUUUAAGCAUGUAGGCUGAUUAUCCAGGCAAAUCCGGAUAAUCAAGGCUGAGGUGUGAUGACGAGGCACUACGGUGCUGAAGUAACAAAUGCCCUGCUUCCAGGAAAAGCCUCUAAGCAUCAGGUAACAUCAAAUCGUACCCCAAACCGACACAGGUGGUCAGGUAGAGAAUA
rnacentral:rRNA from 1 species